rnacentral:tRNA from 1 species
GGAGAGCUACCGAAGCGGUCAUAACGGGGCGGUCUUGAAAACCGUUAGGGCGAAAGCCCACAGGGGUUCGAAUCCCUUGCUCUCCG